UGCCACGCGGGAGGCCCGGGU
rnacentral:ncRNA from 2 species